rnacentral:rRNA from 1 species
GAUGAACGCUGGCGGCGUGCCUAAUACAUGCAAGUCGAGCGAACAGAUAAGGAGCUUGCUCCUUUGACGUUAGCGGCGGACGGGUGAGUAACACGUGGGUAACCUACCUAUAAGACUGGGAUAACUCCGGGAAACCGGGGCUAAUGCCGGAUAACAUUUAGAACCGCAUGGUUCUAAAGUGAAAGAUGGUUUUGCUAUCACUUAUAGAUGGACCCGCGCCGUAUUAGCUAGUUGGUAAGGUAACGGCUUACCAAGGCAACGAUACGUAGCCGACCUGAGAGGGUGAUCGGCCACACUGGAACUGAGACACGGUCCAGACUCCUACGGGAGGCAGCAGUAGGGAAUCUUCCGCAAUGGGCGAAAGCCUGACGGAGCAACGCCGCGUGAGUGAUGAAGGUCUUCGGAUCGUAAAACUCUGUUAUUAGGGAAGAACAAAUGUGUAAGUAACUGUGCACGUCUUGACGGUACCCAAUCAGAAAGCCACGGCUAACUACGUG